rnacentral:rRNA from 1 species
GACGAACGCUGGCGGCGUGCUUAACACAUGCAAGUCGAACGGAAAGGCCCUGCUUUUGUGGGGUGCUCGAGUGGCGAACGGGUGAGUAACACGUGAGUAACCUGGCCUUUACUUUGGGAUGACUUCAGGAGACUGGUGCUAAUACCGACUAGGAGCUCCUGCUGCAUGGUGGGGGUUGGAAAGUUUCGGCGGUUGGGGAUGGACUCGCGGCUUAUCAGCUUGUUGGUGGGGGAUUGGCUUACCAAGGCUUUGACGGGUAGCCGGCCUGGGAGGGGGGUCGGCGACAUUGGGACUGAGAGAGGGACCAGACGGCUACGGGAGGCAGUAGGGGGGAAUAUUGCACAAUGGGGGGAAGCCUGAUGCAGCAGCGCCGCGUGCGGGAUGACGGCCUUCGGGUUGUAAACCGCUUUCGCCUGUGACGAAGCGUGAGUGGCGGUAAUAGGAAAAGAAGCACCGGCUAACUACGUG